CGCACAUUGCGCCCUUUGGUAUUCCGGGGGGCAUGCCUGUUCGAGCGUCAUGAUCAAACAUCAAGCCCAGCUUGGUCUUGGGUGCCGUCCCUCCCCGGGGACGCACCCGGAAAUCAGCGGCGGUGCAGCCGGAACGCCAGCGUAGUAACUACUCCCGCUCGGUGGUCCCGGGUGCGUCGGCCGGACGACCUCUCCAUCAUCACGUUUGACCUCGGAUCAGGUAGGGAUACCCGCUGAACUUAA
rnacentral:misc_RNA from 1 species